rnacentral:misc_RNA from 1 species
GAGCACCUGGGAGAUUCCACAUGGGUAAUCCAUUGUUCUAUGUUUUUGUACAUAUUUUAGUUAUUAUUGCAUUGGUAAACUGUGGUGAUUUCAUAACUUGAUAAAUAUUCUGACAAGAUCAUGUGGAAUUUCUAUCUUAGGCUCUGCUUAAGAUGCACUAAUUAAGCAUUUUUGACAAAGAACAGAAGAAAAUACUCAUAUCUUACUCAUUUGGCAUUUCCUAGAAAUUUAUCCAAAGCUAAUUGCAGGAUUUGAGUUGAGUAUGACGUCUGCUUCAAAUCCUGGUCCUGUCUAAGUCUAACAACCUUCCAUCUACUUUGGUGGGAUCUACAUCAGAUA